rnacentral:rRNA from 1 species
AGAGUUUGAUCCUGGCUCAGGAUGAACGCUAGCGGCAGGCUUAACACAUGCAAGUCGAGGGGCAUCGGGAGGGAAGCUUGCUUUCCUUGCCGGCGACCGGCGCACGGGUGAGUAACACGUAUGCAACCUGCCCUCUUCAGGGGGACAACCUUCCGAAAGGGAGGCUAAUCCCGCGUAUAUCGGUUUCGGGCAUCCGAGAUCGAGGAAAGAUUCAUCGGAAGAGGAUGGGCAUGCGGCGCAUUAGCUUGACGGCGGGGUAACGGCCCACCGUGGCGACGAUGCGUAGGGGUUCUGAGAGGAAGGUCCCCCACACCGGUACUGAGACACGGACCAGACUCCUACGGGAGGCAGCAGUGAGGAAUAUUGGUCAAUGGGAGAGAUCCUGAACCAGCCAAGCCGCGUGAGGGAAGACGGCCCUAUGGGUUGUAAACCUCUUUUGUCGGAGAACAAAACCCGGGACGUGUCCCGGACUGCGUGUAUCCGAAGAAAAAGCAUCGGCUAACUCCGUG